CCUCCCGGUGACACCUGCCUCCAUGGGGCGGGGCUAUGGAGCCGGUGGGUGUGGCUUCUACCCGGGGGGCGGGGCUUAGAGAACAGCUGGGGCGUGGUUGGGUGAUGCUCUAUGAGGGGGCGUGGCUUAUUUGGAGGGGGCGGGGCCUAGAGGCCAGGCCCCCAGUGCUGCGGGGGUGGGGGGGGGUAUGUGUUAUCCAUGCCCCGCCCCUUCUGGGGUGUGUGGGCGGGGCCUGAGGAGCCACGUGGCCCCUUCCCGCCCCCCCGCAGGCGGCCAUGGAGUCCCCAGGGCGUCACCCGGGCGGCGACGAGGAGGAGGAGGAGGAGGAGGAGGAAGAAGAGGAGGAGGCCGAGGCCGUGGUGUCCCCGCGUCGCCCCGAGGAGGUGACGGUGGCCACGGCGUCCCCGUGUCACCCCGAGGAGGAGGAGGAGGUCACAUCUCACCUGGAGGAGAAGGAGGCCAUGAGGUCCCCGUGUCACCCCGAGGAGAAGGUGGAGGCCGUGGCGUCCCCGCGUCACUCCAAGGAGGAGGCCACCGUGUCUCCGUGUCACCCUGAGGAGGAGGAGGAGGCCCCGUGUCACCCCAAGGAGGAAGAGGAGGAGGAGGAGGAGGCCGCACAUCACCCCAAGGAGGAGAAAGAGGCCACAUCCCAUCUUGAGGAGAAGGUGGAGGCCACGGUGUCCCCACGUCACCCCAAGGAGGAGGAGAAGGAGACCACAUCUCACCUCGAGGAGAAGGUGGAGGCCACGGCGUCCCCACGUCACCCCAAGGAGGAGGAGGAGGAGGUCACGUCUCAUCUUGAGGAGAAGGUGGAGGCCACGAUGUCCCCGUGUCACUCUGAGGAGAAGGUGGAGGCCACGGUGUCCCCACGUCACCCCAAGGAGGAAGAGGAGGAGGAGGCGACUGCAUGUCACCCCAAGGAGGAGAAAGAGGCCACGUCUCACCUCGAGGAGAAGGAGGAGGCCACGUCUCACCGUGAGGAGAAGAAGGUGGAGGCCACGUCUCACCCUGAGGAGAAGGAGGAGGCCACAUCUCACCUCGAGGAGAAGGUGGAGGCCACAUCUCACCCUGAGGAGAAGGUGGAGGCCACAUCUCACCUCGAGGAGAAGGCGGAGGCCACGUCUCACCUUGAGGAGAAGGUGGAGGCCACGUCUCACCGUGAGGAGGAGGAGGCCACGUCUCACCUUGAGGAGAAGGUGGAGGCCACGUCUCACCGUGAGGAGAAGGUGGAGGCCAUGUCUCACCCCGAGGAGAAGGUGGAGGCCACGUCUCACCCCGAGGAGAAGGUGGAGGCCGCGGCGUCCCCGCGCCGCCCCGAGGAGGAGGAUGAUGAUGAUGAGGAGGAGGCGGUGGCGGUGGCCGGGUGGCCGCGGGGCGGUGGGGCG
rnacentral:lncRNA from 1 species